UGAUUGAACGUGCUUGCACGGACUUGACGUUGGUUUACCAACGAGUGGCGGACGGGUGAGUAACACGUAGGUAACCUGCCCCAAAGCGGGGGAUAACAUUUGGAAACAGAUGCUAAUACCGCAUAAUAAUUUGAAUCGCAUGAUUCAAAUUUAAAAGAUGGCUUCGGCUAUCACUUUGGGAUGGACCUGCGGCGCAUUAGCUUGUUGGUAGGGUAACAGCCUACCAAGGCUGUGAUGCGUAGCCGAGUUGAGAGACUGAUCGGCCACAAUGGAACUGAGACACGGUCCAUACUCCUACGGGAGGCAGCAGUAGGGAAUCUUCCACAAUGGGCGCAAGCCUGAUGGAGCAACACCGCGUGAGUGAAGAAGGGUUUCGGCUCGUAAAGCUCUGUUGUUAGAGAAGAACGUGCGUGAGAGCAACUGUUCACGCAGUGACGGUAUCUAACCAGAAAGUCACGGCUAACUACGUGCCAGCAGCCGCGGUAAUACGUAGGUGGCAAGCGUUAUCCGGAUUUAUUGGGCGUAAAGCGAGCGCAGGCGGUUUGAUAAGUCUGAUGUGAGAGCCUUUGGCUUAACCAAAGAAGUGCAUCGGAAACUGUCAGACUUGAGUGCAGAAGAGGACGGUGGAACUCCAUGUGUAGCGGUGGAAUGCGUAGAUAUAUGGAAGAACACCAGUGGCGAAGGCGGCUG
rnacentral:rRNA from 1 species